CACGCCGUAAACGAUGGGCACUAGGCGUCGGGGGGAGCGACCCUCCCGGUGCCGUCGCUAACGCUGUAAGUGCCCCGCCUGGGGAGUACGGCCGCAAGGCUGAAACUCAAAGGAAUUGACGGGGGCCCGCACAAGCGGUGGAGCAUGUGGUUUAAUUCGAAGCAACGCGAAGAACCUUACCUGGGCUUGACAUGCAUGAGUAAGCCGGUGGAAACACCGGGCCUCCUUCGGGACUCAUGCACAGGUGC
rnacentral:rRNA from 1 species